rnacentral:rRNA from 1 species
AAUGAACGCUGGCGGCGUGCCUAACACAUGCAAGUCGUACGAGAAAUCCCGAGCUUGCUUGGGAGAGUAAAGUGGCGCACGGGUGAGUAACGCGUGGGUAACCCACCUUCGAAUCUGGGAUAACUCCGCGAAAGCGGUGCUAAUACCGGAUAAGACCACAGCCGUUUCGGCGGCAGAGGUAAAAGCUGACCUCUCCAUGGAAGUUAGCGUUCGAGGACGGGCCCGCGUCCUAUCAGCUUGUUGGUGGGGUAAAAGCCUACCAAGGCAGCGACGGGUAGCUGGUCUGAGAGGAUGAUCAGCCACACUGGAACUGGAACACGGUCCAGACUCCUACGGGAGGCAGCAGUGAGGAAUUUUGCGCAAUGGGGGAAACCCUGACGCAGCAACGCCGCGUGGGUGAAGAAGGCUUUCGGGUCGUAAAGCCCUGUCAGGUGGGAAGAACCGUUUCGAUACUAAUAAUGUCGAAGCCUGACGUACCACCAGAGAAGCACCGCCAAC